CUGGCAGGCAGAUGGGCACGAAGAGCGAUCAGGGUGGUUCACAGGCAGGUGUAUCAGGGAAAGGGGCUGGGCAGACAGUCAGUGGCUCUCACCUGUACGCCAGGCGGAGGAUGAAGAGCUCCAGGAAGGCCGACUCCAGCAACAGGUCCUGGUCAGCCGGUGACAGCUCAGCAAAGCCAGGGAUCUUCUCCGCCCACUUGCGGAUGACCUCCAGAGAACCGGAGAGCAGGUCGUAGAACUGCUGUACAUCCCCAGCAUCUUCCUUCCCAAAGUGGGGCAGCACCAGCUCCUGGAACUAGGAAGACGGUCCAGUGGGGUCAGCACCCCAGGCAGGCUCCUACACCCACUGCCACGUAUGGCUGUGUCAGACACUUGGAUGCCAGAUCCCGGGAGUGGGAGUGGAUCUGAGAUCCUGCCCAGGCUCUCACUUGCCAAGUCUCACAUAUUAACCCAGGGCUGCAGCUGCCAAAAGGACAUAUUUUUCUAAUUGGCCACCUGCCUGAGGGGGUGCAUUUUCCCAUCUGGUCAGCCGAGAGGGGGAUCCUCUCUUUGAUCUGUCGAACUGGAGGGAGUCGCUUUUCUUUCUUUCUUUUUUAAACCUCCUUUCUCAUUCAGUCCUUCCAGAGGGGGUAGCUCUCCUAACACGCACAAAGGCACUGCAUGUGCUCAUAGACCUCCCCAAGGCAGACACGGGGUGGGACCUCACCUUGGAGUAGUCCAGUUUGGCAGUGCUGGGCCCUGAGUCCAGGUGUGCACGGACCAGGGAAGUGAGGAGAUUGGCAGGGGAGGCAUCUGGGGGCUGCUUGGGUUUUGAAGGUAGCCGGCCCCGCCGCCCCUUCAGGCUGUCUGUUCGGACAACUGCAAAGGAAUGGGUAGGGGUGAGGAAGGAAGGGAUCUGAGGAAGGGCCUCUCAGCCCAAGCCGUGCACACCACUGCUGAGACGCGCCCCACCGAGUCCCUAGGACCCAGAGUCCCUGAGAUCCAAGGUACCCUAUAGGAACCUCCCCCUGCCACCACCCUCACAAUCCAGGCAGGUGUAGGCUGCCUCCCUCCAAGGCCUGGGGUUCAGAGGUGGGGUGGAAAUAAGACGUGCCCUCCUCUGGGUCCUCCAGGGCAGAAGCCUGGGGGCCCUGCUGGUCCCACUCCACUCAAGCCUACCCUUGCCCCGCUGGGCCGCACCCCAGCCACACACCUUCCUUCACCAUGCCCACCGCCAGGCACUUCUGGAAGCGGCAGAACUGGCAGCGGUUUCGCCGCCUCUUGUCCACAGGGCAGUCCUUGUUAGCCAGGCAGAUGUACUUGGCGUUUUUCUGCACUGUGCGCUGGGUGGGGGGGCAACACGGAACAAGCUGUCAGAGUGUGGGGUGGGGAGGGGGGAACUUAGGGGAGGGGACCGUCCAGAUCCUGCUGCCAUUGCAGACAAAAGCGCUCUCUGUUCACAGCUAUUUUUCUAACAUUUGGGUGGCAAGGGAGGGAGAGACGGGGUUGGGCGGGGGGAGAGAAAAGUCUUGAAGACAUUGGGGGAGGUUUCUCGCUCUGAGGAAGUCCCCAGGACACACUACUGGGGGCCAGGGUCUCCCUGGCAGUCUAGACACCUGUAUUUUUUCAUGGGCCCUUGUCCACCUGCCUUCUCCCUAGGGCAGACAGGAGAGGGCCAAGGGGCUGGGGGGUGGGGACGGGAAGCUAAGCAGGCACCAUCGCUGGGACAAACACACAGCCUGUUCCCAAGUCCACCCCCAGCCCUCAAGAACCAAACCCUCCGCAGGGAUCCUUUCAUCUCACGCCAGGAACAUGAGAGCCUGGGGGCACCCCUUCCCACUAGAACCUUGAGUUGGGAGAGGACAGGCAGAGGAGCAGAGGAAAACCAGAGGCUCGCCAGGCACCCCUGCAGCUCCUAUCUGCCCCUAUCUCACCCCUCCCUCCAGCUCUGUGCAAUCCCAUGGGCCCGAGUGUCCCGGCAAAUGAAAGCUUCCAGCCCUGGCAUCUACGGGUCUCCAGGAAGGCGGCCCACCUGGCAGGGCUGAUCCCACCCUGCAGGACAGGACUUAGCUAGGAGGAGAACCCAGGGGGAGACCACAGGUCCCAAUGGGAUGAGGCCAGCCUCUCUCCAUUUCCAACAAAAGGCCCCACCUGGGGCUGCGCGGUACCUUGAAGAAGCCCUUGCAGCCCUCACAUGUGCGGACACCAUAAUGCUGGCAUGAAGCGUUGUCCCCACACACAGCACAGCGGCCUUCACUUCCACCUGGGGCCCCGCUCCGGGCCUUGGUUGAGGUCACGGGUGUAUCCAGUAUCCCCGAGCCCUCAAGGUGUGGAGAAGUGGGUGCCAAACCUGGGAAGGCCGUAGGCAUGGAAUAGCUCUCUCCCUCCCCCAGCUGGUGGGUGGCCUGUGAGGGGAACAACUUCAGGGGGCUCUGGGCCAGGCUGGGGCUGGGGCCGGUGGGAGGACUGAAGGAAAAGAAGGCUGGAGGCUGUGGGGGCCCAGAGGCUUUGGGCAGCUGCUCUGUCCAUGCCCGCAGGCCUUCGUAAGUCUGGCUGGGCGAGAAGUGGCCGAAGGAGCCAUCCCAGGGAGAGAGCUGGGGCGGCUGGAAGCUGGGCGUGGAGGGCGACGGGGCCGAGCAGGGGCUGCCAUAGUAGUCAGAGCCACUGGAGGACAGGGCCUCAUCCACUGGGCCGCUCAGGGGGCCGGGGUAGCAGCCGUACACCUGGAAGUCCUCGAACUUGAAGGAGGCAGAGGCAGGGGAGGUGGCUGAGGACGAGGAUGUGGAGGAGGCCGAGGAGGAGGCUGAGGAGCAUGGCUGGACUGUUCCUGGCAGCUGGUAGAGGAAGGUGUCAAACUCUCCUGUGUAGCCGUCCAUGAAGGUGCUGAAGCUGGGCAGGGCAGUGGGGGCAGCGGGGGCUGCCUCGGGGCUGGCCAGGUCCAUGGUGGGCUUGAUGAACUCAGGGGUCAGGGGGUCGCUUGCCAGGUGGUCACGGGGUCCCGGACUCGGUGCUGGUGUCCCAUAUUGGGCUUGGAUACAGGGCAUCUCUGGAGAGAGAGGAGACCCCAGGGAGGGAAAGGAGAGUCAGUGGGACAAGCCUAUAGCCUUGUCUCAAAGUAUUUGGGCCCCAGAGCAGCAAGGUGGCAGGAAUCCCAGCCUAAAGAUGAGACAGAGGCACCGGGACCAGAGCACCCAGGAAUCCUGACCCCUGGCCUGAGUACCAUCUCGACCUAGGUGCCACAAAGCCCCUGGGCAGCGGCCCAGCAUGAGUGGGCUCCAUCAGAAGGCCAGCCACACCCUAGUCAGCCUGGGAACCCUAGGGGAGGCAUACAGCCAGCAUUUCUCUGCUAGAACAGGGGGAAGCUGUGUUCCUCCAGCCCCCUGCCCCUCCCCCAUGGGGAAGGCAUGGUGGGGGCCGGGAGAAGGGUGAGUGGGAGAGGCAGCCCAGCAAAGCCUCAGCCCAGCUCCCAGGAGCAGCUCCCUGGUUGUUUCGCCAACCAGGCACUUCCUGGGAAUACUCCCAGGCCUCUGCAAAGCCCCUUUUCUCCUCCCCUCGCAGUGCCUAGGAAGAAGGACAUCGUGAAAAUGGAAGAGGAGCUGGAAGUGAAAGCCCACCUGCCUAAGAAGGCAGCCUAAUGCAGAGGCCCUAGCCUGUCCCCCAUUUCCACCCCAACCCUGCACACUGAGCAAAGGCAGCAGAUCCCAAACCCACCCCAAUCCUGCCAUCUGGGGCUGGGAAGCCACUCUGCACUGCUCGAGAUGCUCCCAGAAGCAAAGAGGAAGGGAACCUAGGCCUCCUCAUCGGUAACCUGGCUCCAGACCUUUAAAGGCCAUUUGCUGGGGACAGGGCAAGGGGGGAGGAAGGAGACCACAGCCCCCUGGACUCUCAGGAGAAUGGACAACAGUACCUAAAAAGAAUGUUCUGCUGCCCCCAGUUAUCUUAAUAAGAGAACUCUGAGAGUCCAGCAGAAGACUUAAGGAGAAGCCUGCUGGUGGGUGGGUGGAAGACAUUCUGCCCCUGCCUGGGUCCCUCCACUAAAGCAGGGUCUGUGCCCUGAAGAAUCCAGAGGCUCAGGCAAAGGGGGUUACACAGCCCCAGUCCCGAGGAGCCUGAAGAGAGCCUGAACAGAGAUAGCAUCAUUCAGGCAGAUCCUUACAUUCACAGAAUGGUCAAAAAAUAAUGCAGAGGAGGCUCCAGGACAGUCUCCCUCCCAACCUACACACCUGGGGUCUGCGUAACUCUGGCCUCACCAGUCAAUGAGGGAAGCUGGAGAAGAAAUCAAGCAGGAACAGAGUACCAUAAUCAAGGGGUGCAGUGAUGGGGGCAAAGGCUGUCACCACCUCCUGGCCAAGAGCCCAGGAAGUCCUCUCUGGUCCUAGCCUUCCUUCUAACUCCACAGGCCCUGAACAGGGCACCUCCACCCCUAGCCUGACAACCAAGACAACAGAGACCCUUGUAGCUCAGGCCCCACACACCCAGUGGCACCAGUCCACAGGCAUGCAGCACCCUGCGAGAGGUGAGGGUGGCCACAUCUGCCUGCACUAGGACAGCCUGGCCAGGGAUGGGCUGGGGGUGAAGGAGGAAAGACAGCAGUUGGGCAGAACUGGGCGCUUGUUCCUGCCUUAUUCAAAUCCUGUUUCUCCACCUGGACGUCCCACAUCCGGAUCAACCCCCAUCAGUCCCUCCCCCUUCAUGCAGGUUCUUAACAACACAAGAUAUGGACCUACAUCUAGCCUCACAGGAGGGGGGAGCAGUCCCACAGGAGGAGGAAGAGGCGGGGUUGAAGGAGGCAGUGGGGAGAAUCCGGCUUCAGGCAGGUCUUGGCAACAAUGUGGCUUGCACCUGUUCUGCUGAACAAGCCUCAGGCUGCACCCUACCUGUAAGAUCCAACAGAGACUACUGGGGGAGGGGGCAUAGGGAUGAUCAGCAUCUGGAGCUGGAAUGGUUGGGAGGUAUCCUCUAGGCAGCACCGCCCCAAGACUCCAACACUGGCAACUUCUAUCCAGGAUCCCCAAGGACAAGGGUUUCCACCUCUGUCUCUCUUUCUCUCUCUCUCUCUCUCUCUCUCACACACACACACACACACACACACACACACACACACGUGAUCCAAGCCCCAGCGAAAUCAAUUCUCCCUGUGCUUACAGAGACCCUGCCCCGACCCCAAGAAGCCUCCUUUAUUCAAUACACAGCAAGCAGCCCUCCACAGGUCAGCCACCAAGCCAGUCACUUCCUUCAAUGAUCCGGAGGCUUCCUAACGCACCUCAGACAGAAAGUUCAGGGUGGGGAACCCCUGCCAACUCAGCCACAGCCUCUAAAGUGUUAAGAAAACAACCGGGACACUGGGAGGGAGCUGACAGGCUGGGAGGAAGGAGGGCCUUUUGGAAAUCCAAUCCCAGUUAGAAUCGUACGGAUCCCAGCAGCGCCAAAGCUCUGUGUACCUGUUCCCCCACGGUGCUGUGACCCCCAUCCACACCCACCCAAGUUCAGAGCACCGUGCGCCCAGUUGGGCACCCUAGGAGACUGAACUAAGGCCAGCCGCCUGCUGGACAAGUCCCUACUCCCGGCGCCAACCCCAACCCCCUACAGCUUCCACUUUGCAGGUAGUCAACCUCCCCUACCUCCUACCCCGCACCCAGUAGUUUCCAGUCUGAC
rnacentral:lncRNA from 1 species